CGGACGGCUGAGUAACACGUAGGAACGUACCCCAAAGUGAGGCAUAAGCACCAGAAAUGGUGUCUAAUACCGCAUGUGGCCCUCGGGCUAAAGCUCCGGCGCUUUGGGAACGGCCUGCGUAUGAUUAGUUUGUUGGUGAGGUAAUGGCUCACCAAGACUACGAUCAUUAGCUGGUCUGAGAGGAUGAUCAGCCAGACUGGGACUGAGAACGGCCCAG
rnacentral:rRNA from 1 species